ACGGGUGAGUAAUGUCUGGGAAACUGCCUGAUGGAGGGGGAUAACUACUGGAAACGGUAGCUAAUACCGCAUAACGUCGCAAGACCAAAGAGGGGGACCUUCGGGCCUCUUGCCAUCAGAUGUGCCCAGAUGGGAUUAGCUAGUAGGUGGGGUAACGGCUCACCUAGGCGACGAUCCCUAGCUGGUCUGAGAGGAUGACCAGCCACACUGGAACUGAGACACGGUCCAGACUCCUACGGGAGGCAGCAGUGGGGAAUAUUGCACAAUGGGCGCAAGCCUGAUGCAGCCAUGCCGCGUGUGUGAAGAAGGCCUUCGGGUUGUAAAGCACUUUCAGCGGGGAGGAAGGGGGUAAGGUUAAUAACCUUACUCAUUGACGUUACCCGCAGAAGAAGCACCGGCUAACUCCGUGCCAGCAGCCGCGGUAAUACGGAGGGUGCAAGCGUUAAUCGGAAUUACUGGGCGUAAAGCGCACGCAGGCGGUCUGUCAAGUCGGAUGUGAAAUCCCCGGGCUCAACCUGGGAACUGCAUUCGAAACUGGCAGGCUAGAGUCUUGUAGAGGGGGGUAGAAUUCCAGGUGUAGC
rnacentral:rRNA from 1 species